rnacentral:tRNA from 1 species
GGACAAUUAGUUCAGAGGUAGAACGCUUCCUUGACACGGAAGAGGUCAGAAGUUCAAUUCUUCUAUUGUCCA